rnacentral:rRNA from 1 species
GUGGGGAAUCUUGCGCAAUGGGCGAAAGCCUGACGCAGCCAUGCCGCGUGAAUGAUGAAGGUCUUAGGAUUGUAAAAUCCUUUCACCGGUGAAGAUAAUGACUGUAGCCGGAGAAGAAGCCCCGGCUAACUUCGUGCCAGCAGCCGCGGUAAUACGAAGGGGGCUAGCGUUGCUCGGAUUUACUGGGCGUAAAGGGCGCGUAGGCGGACAUUUAAGUCAGGGGUGAAAUCCCGGGGCUCAACCUCGGAACUGCCUUUGAUACUGGGUGUCUUGAGUAUGAGAGAGGUGUGUGGAACUCCGAGUGUAGAGGUGAAAUUCGUAGAUAUUCGGAAGAACACCAGUGGCGAAGGCGACACACUGGCUCAUUACUGACGCUGAGGCGCGAAAGCGUGGGGAGCAAACAGGAUUAGAAACCCUUGUAGUCC